CUAUUUUGGCAGAAAAGUGCCAUGAAUUUAGAAUUCAUUUAUAUAAGAUUCAUUCUUAUAAUUAGUA
rnacentral:tRNA from 1 species